rnacentral:rRNA from 1 species
UGAGGAAUAUUGGGCAAUGGAGGCAACUCUGACCCAGCCAUGCCGCGUGCAGGAAGACGGCCUASGGGUUGUAAACUGCUUUUAUACAGGAAGAACACCACCCACGUGUGGGUGACUGACGGUACUGUAAGAAUAAGGACCGGCUAACUCCGUGCCAGCAGCCGCGGUAAUACGGAGGGUCCGAGCGUUAUCCGGAAUCAUUGGGUUUAAAGGGUCCGUAGGCGGGCUAAUAAGUCAGAGGUGAAAGUUUGCAGCUCAACUGUAAAAUUGCCUUUGAUACUGUUAGUCUUGAGUUAUAGGAAGUGGUUAGAAUAAGUGGUGUAGCGGUGAAAUGCAUAGAUAUCACUUAGAAUACCGAUUGGAAGGCAGAUCACUAMCUGUAUACCGACGCGAGGGACGAAAGCAUGGGUAGCGAACGGGAUUAGUACCCCGGUCGUCCCUGCUGUAAACGAUGGAUACUAGCUGUUGGCUUCGGUCAGUGGCUAAGCUA